rnacentral:rRNA from 1 species
GAUGAACGCUGGCGGUGUGCCUAAUACAUGCAAGUCGAGCGAACAGACGAGGAGCUUACUCCUCUGACGUUAGCGGCGGACGGGUGAGUAACACGUGGAUAACCUACCUAUAAGACUGGGAUAACUUCGGGAAACCGGAGCUAAUACCGGAUAACAUGUUGAACCGCAUGGUUCAACAGUGAAAGACGGUCUUGCUGUCACUUAUAGAUGGAUCCGCGUCGCAUUAGCUAGUUGGUAAGGUAACGGCUUACCAAGGCAACGAUGCGUAGCCGACCUGAGAGGGUGAUCGGUCACACUGGAACUGAGACACGGUCCAGACUCCUACGGGAGGCAGCAGUAGGGAAUCUUCCGCAAUGGGCGAAAGCCUGACGGAGCAACGCCGCGUGAGUGAAGAAGGUCUUCGGAUCGUAAAACUCUGUUAUUAGGGAAGAACAAAUGUGUAAGUAACUAUGCACGUCUUGACGGUACCUAAUCAGAAAGCCACGGCUAACUACGUG